ACAAUCUCGAACGUAGAGCUUUUCGAGACAUACGCGGCGCAAUGUUGAAGAAGUUGUCGUCGCACCGUAGGUACUAGGAAAUGGUUUUCUAGUAGAAGGGCAUUAAUAGAGCUGUCUGGCUUCAACGAAGUCGGGGCAUAUUGAGGAACCCAACA
rnacentral:ncRNA from 1 species